UGGAAGGUAAAAAAGUCGUAACAAGGUCUCCGUUGGUGAACCAGCGGAGGGAUCAUUA
rnacentral:rRNA from 2 species